UGAGGAAUCUUGGGCAAUGGGCGAGAGCCUGACCCAGCCAUGCCGCGUGAGGGAAGACGGCCUUCUGGGUUGUAAACCUCUUUUAUACAGGAAGAAAAAGGUCAUGCGUGGCCAAUUGACGGUACUGUAGGAAUAAGCACCGGCUAACUCCGUG
rnacentral:rRNA from 1 species